rnacentral:rRNA from 1 species
GAUGAACGCUGGCGGCGUGCUUAACACAUGCAAGUCGAACGGUGAACGAGGGAGCUUGCUCCCUCCGGAUCAGUGGCGAACGGGUGAGUAACACGUGAGCAAUCUGCCCUGGACUCUGGGAUAAGCGUUGGAAACGACGUCUAAUCCCGGAUACGAGGCGUGGGGGCAUCCCCAACGCCUGGAAAGAACUUCGGUCCAGGACGAGCUGGCGGCCUAUCAGCUAGUUGGUGAGGUAACGGCUCACCAAGGCGACGACGGGUAGCCGGCCUGAGAGGGUGACCGGCCACACUGGGACUGAGACACGGCCCAGACUCCUACGGGAGGCAGCAGUGGGGAAUAUUGCACAAUGGGCGCAAGCCUGAUGCAGCAACGCCGCGUGAGGGACGACGGCCUUCGGGUUGUAAACCUCUUUUAGCAGGGAAGAAGCGAAAGUGACGGUACCUGCAGAAAAAGCACCGGCUAACUACGUGCCAGCCGCCGCGGUAACAC